rnacentral:rRNA from 1 species
UACGUAGGGUGCAAGCGUUAAUCGGAAUUACUGGGCGUAAAGCGUGCGCAGGCGGCUUUGCAAGACAGAUGUGAAAUCCCCGGGCUUAACCUGGGAACUGCAUUUGUGACUGCAUGGCUAGAGUGCGGCAGAGGGGGAUGGAAUUCCGCGUGUAGCAGUGAAAUGCGUAGAUAUGCGGAGGAACACCGAUGGCGAAGGCAAUCCCCUGGGCCUGCACCGACGCUCAUGCACGAAAGCGUGGGGAGCAAACAGG